UACGAAGGGUGCAAACGUUGCUCGGAAUUAUCGGGCGUAAAGCGCACGUAGGCGGCUUGGCAAGUCGGAUGUGAAAUCCCUCGGCUCAACCAAGGAAGUGCAUCCGAAACUGCUGAGCUUGAGUACUUAAGAGGAUCGCGGAAUUCCCGGUGUAGAGGUGAAAUUCGUAGAUAUCGGGAGGAACACCAGUGGCGAAGGCGGCGAUCUGGGAAGAUACUGACGCUGAGGUGCGAAAGCGUGGGGAGCAAACAGG
rnacentral:rRNA from 1 species